AUGAAGCUUCUUUGUUGGCAAAAAUCAAUUCAUGGUUCUUAAAACAAACAUGGAGAGAAGUGUAAGAGGGUUGUAUUAAACAAAACCCUUUACACUCUCCCUCCAUUUUCAAAAACAGUUUGCUUUGUGCUUUAGCUAUUGGCUCCUCAUAUCACAAAGAGAUUAUAUGUUUUUUUUUCUGAGUAGCAGAAGCAAAUAAUUAAGCAUUUUUCUCCAAAGGAUCAGAAGUUUUUUGGUUAUAGCAUGGCAAACCGGCAAGUCACAAAAAGGCAAUGGAUUCCUUUUUGGGAUCUU
rnacentral:sRNA from 13 species